rnacentral:misc_RNA from 1 species
CAGAAACUGAAAGCUAAAAAAAAGUUGCUGGUCUGGGGAAAAGAGGAUCCAAAAACAACUGAAAAGAACAUGUCCUUUUCAAUUUACACCUACACUUUCCUAAUAUAACUUAAUAGCUUUGUAUAGGCUACUAUUCUUUAUCCUAAUAAAGAUGAUCACCUUGUUGUUUAUUUUUUUUUUGUAUGUAUCUGCAUCGUCCUUGGGAUGCGAUCUAUCGAAUGAAACUGUCCAAAAUAAUGUAUAGCUCCAAAAAGAGACCAGACCAGAACUUCACUGAAACUUCAAUCAAAAAAACCAUCUUCUUCGGUAACCCAACAAACAAACUUCUCAGAGUAUUGCCGGUGCAUCUGCUUACUCACUUUAGCAUCAACACUGAUUUCUCCGGGAGUCUGCACCUUCUUCAAGCUUGUCCCGGAAUCAGGAACUGAAACGUUUGUUGUCAUGCUAUCUGAUGACAUGCCCCGAGAUGGAGAACCUAUGAUUGAAGAUCUAUCAUAUGUUUCUUCUUCACAAGAAUUUCCUGAUGAAGAGAGCCAAUCAACGUCUAAAAAAUUUGAUGAAUCAAACAAAGCACCUUCCUCAAAUUUAAAGCUACUACUUCGGAGACAUUGAUCUAACUGUAUAUCAUGGAAAAGCUGUCUGCUUGACAAUGAGGGGUUGUACCUGGUAAACGAAAUAUCACUGUCACAGGUACAGAUUUCUGGUGAUGACUCCGAAAUACCCUUACAACCUUUGCCACGUUCAGUUAAAGGCUGGUAAGUGUCUUCAGUCUGAUCUAAGUCAGUGUCUUUACCCUGAGAACUGCUUCCGCAACUUAUGUUUCCUUCUGAUAGCGAUCUUUUAAAAUAUGACCUGCGUAUUAACAAACUGCUUUGCUAACAGCUUUG